UUGUUGCUGGUCCCUGUAUGGGGGCAUGUGCACGCUCUGUUUACACAUCCACUCACACCUGUGCACCCUCUGUAGUUCUAUGGCCUGGGGGGCUCUGUCCUCCUGCUGUGGUCCUACGUCUUUACACACACACCGUAGCAAAGUCUCAUGGAAUGUAUGUCGCGUUUAACGCAAUGAAAUACAACUUUCAGCAAUGGAUCUCUUGGCUCUCGCAUCGAUGAAGAACGCAGCGAAAUGCGAUAAGUAAUGUGAAUUGCAGAAUUCAGUGAAUCAUCGAAUCUUUGAACGCACCUUGCGCUCCUUGGUAUUCUGAGGAGCAUGCCUGUUUGAGUGUCAUUAAAUUCUCAACCACACUGAUUUUGAAUCAGCGUGGCUUGGAUUUGGGGGGGAAAAUUUGUCGUGUGGGCUUUUUGUAUAGUCUGCUCCCCUGAAAUUGAUUAGCGGUACCUUUGUGGAACUGUCUACAGGUGUGAUAAUUAUCUACAUCCUAGACGUCUGCUGGAAUGCUGCUUUCUAAACCCUACUUGUAUUGACAAUCUUGACCUCAAAUCAGGUAGGACUACCCGCUGAACUUAAGCAUAUCAAUAAGGCGGAGGAA
rnacentral:rRNA from 1 species